rnacentral:rRNA from 1 species
AUGCACGAGCUGUGCAAAAAGCCUGCACCCACCAAUGCAUCACGCGUGCAGCUUCAUGCGAGGGGUCGCGAUGUCCAUCGUGAUAACUCCCGCUUUUGCUUUCGCCCAUCCCUCCUCCUCCCAUCUGCUCCGCUCGGCCUUAGAUUCGCCGCCGCCGCGUCCUCCUCGCCGCGGCCGCCUCCUGCUCCUCCUUGCCACGGCCGCCUCCUGCUCCUCCUCGCCACCGCCAUCCCAUUUUGUUGGCUGCCCUCGAUGGGAGAUAACACACAGGAAGGAGCAGAGGUUGAUCCGGUGGAGGAUCAUGAAUCCUUGCCCGAGUCACCGGACCAGCGCCGUUGA